CACAGGUAGCAUGGAGGCAAUGUGAUCCCCUGCAAUGACACAGCACCCAGAGACACACACAGGUAGCAUGGAGGCAAUGUGAUCCCCUGCAAUGACACAGCACCCAGAGACACACACAGGUAGCAUGGAGGCAAUGUGAUCCCCUGCAAUGACACAGCACCCAGAGACACACACAGGUAGCAUGGAGGCAAUGUGAUCCCCUGCAACGACACAGCACCCAGAGACACACACAGGGAGCAUGGAGGCAAUGUGAUCCCCUGCAAUGACACAGCACCCAGAGACACACACAGGGAGCAUGGAGGCAAUGUGAUCCCCUGCAUUGACACAGCACCCAGAGACAUACACAGGGAGCAUGGAGGCAAUGUGAUCCCCUGCAAUGACACAGCACCCAGAGAUACACACAGGUAGCAUGGAGGCAAUGUGGUCCCCUGCAAUGACACAGCACCCAGAGACACAAACAGGUAGCAUGGAGGCAAUGUGGUCCCCUGCAAUGACACAGCACCCAGAGACACACACAGGUAGCAUGGAGGCAAUGUGAUCCCCAGCAAUGACACAGUACCCAGAGACACACACACAGGGAGCAUGGAGGCAAUGUGAUCCCCGGCAAUGACACAGCACCCAGAGACACACACAGGUAGCAUGGAGGCAAUGUGAUCCCCAGCAAUGACACAGUACCCAGAGACACACACACAGGUAGCAUGGAGGCAAUGUGAUCCCCGGCAAUGACACAGCACCCAGAGACACACACAGGUAGCAUGGAGGCAAUGUGAUCCCCUGCAAUGACACAGUACCCAGAGACACACACAGGGAGCAUGGAGGCAAUGUGAUCCCCUGCAAUGACACAGCACCCAGAGAGCAUGGAGGCAAUGUGAUCCCCAGCAAUGACACAGCACCCAGAGACACACACAGGGAGCAUCGAGGCAAUGUGAUCCCCUGCAAUGACACAGCACCCAGAGAUACACACAGGGAGCAUCGAGGCAAUGUGAUCCCCUGCAUUGACACAGCACCCAGAGACAUACACAGGUAGCAAGGAGGCAAUGUGGUCCCCUGCAAUGACACUGUGGCAAACCUAGCCACUUGUAAUACUCUGGACUAUAUGCAUAAAAAGGUUGUCUGUACUAAUCCCUGUAACUUCAUCUAUAACCUAUAUCUACACUGUGUGUUACUGUGUGUUUGUAUAGAAUUUGUAUGCUAGCAGCCGAAAGCCGCUAGCAUUCAUGUGUUUCGUUUCACGAACAGCAACCUUACUGGCUGUUCGUGAACCGAAUGAGCUACCCCCUAAUAGCCCACACAUAGAGGGACAUGUGGCGCUCAUUAACUGAUUGCAACAAUGUUGCAAUCGGUAAUUAGAGACUUUCCUAGGUGGCCGUCGUUCGGCUACCGACCACGCGGCGGUCGGCCAUCUUGGAUCCUUUGUCUCACCAACGGUGUUUGGUCGUCGAGCGCGUGGAACUGAAAACAGCUACUCGACGGCGCGAACACCGCUGGAUUUGCAGGCCGUUCGGGAGCUCCGGUCUUUCGUUAUUGUGGUUCCCUAUCGGUGUUCGGUACUUUUAGGCGAACGCGAUGGCAAAGUGUAUUUCGUGCGGCGUUCGGUUGUUUUAGCUGGGAUCUGAGUGGUACAAAAUGUGCGCUCAGACCCCAGCUAUCUACCGAACGUCCAUUCGUUUAAAUAAACCGAAUAGUGUAAAAGUUAUGUAUUUAAAUGUAAAAUGCCGGUUCUGCUGCACGGAGGGAUAAUCCACUUAACGGUGUAUUCCAGUGGGAGUAUCCCUCUCGUCCAGCAGUGCCUGAUGGGAGAAAUGCCCAGAAUGUUAAGUCCCCCAUGUAGUCCCUACUGUGUUACCCCUGCUAUGUCAGUAAACCCCUUGCAUGGGGACUUGCAUAAAUACUGGAGCUGUGAAUAAAAACCUCAGUUGACUCCCAGAACUGUGUUUCAUCCGGUUACUGGGGGAUUUGGGAUAUUGCCUUACUUUUCAGCGCUUGACUGUGGAUUACCUUCUUUACAAGCGGAGAUCGUGGA